GAAAUGCGAUACGUAAUGUGAAUUGCAAAUUCAGUGAAUCAUCGAGUCUUUGAACGCACAUUGCGCCCCCUGGUAUUCCGGGGGGCAUGCCUGUCCGAGCGUCAUUUCUGCCCUCAAGCACGGCUUGUGUGUUGGGCCCCGUCCUCCGAUCCCGGGGGACGGGCCCGAAAGGCAGCGGCGGCACCGCGUCCGGUCCUCGAGCGUAUGGGGCUUUGUCACCCGCUCUGUAGACCCGGCCGGCGCUUGCCGAUCAACCCAAAUUUUUAUCCAGGUUGACCUCGGAUCAGGUAGGGAUACCCGCUGAACUUAAGC
rnacentral:misc_RNA from 1 species